rnacentral:lncRNA from 1 species
ACGACGGCAAAGAUGAUGACGGUGACAUGGUUCUGUUCGGUCGGCGAAUUUGGUUUAAUAUUUUCAAAAGAAAUUGAAGGGUCCGAAGAAACGAAAAAUCUUUGAUUCCCCUCCCCUCUUCUUUCGAAAAUAUUAAACCGGCGAUGUCGUUGGUGAAGAUGAUGACUGUGGCGCGGAUUUGUUCAGCCGGCGAAUUUGGUUUAAUAUUUUCAAAAGGAAUUGAAGGGUGCGAAGAAACAGGAAAUCUUUGAUUCCCUUCCCCUCUUUUUUCAAAAAUAUUAAACCGGCGACAUCGUCUGUUAUGUUGUUUGAUACCUUUCUUAUGCAAUCUUGCUUGAAUACUGUUCCUGGUUGGAACUUCUUAUACUUGUAUUGAUUGCGACGCCUAGGACGUACAGGGAAGACUCUGUCCGUUCGGCGGUCUGUCGGCGGCGUCGCAAUCUCGGCCAAAUAGGCGGGUCGUCGUGGGUUGUGACAUCGUCGGUGAAGAUAAAUGACUGUGGCGCGAAUUUGUUCGACUGACGAAUUUGGUUUGACAUUCGAAAGAUGUUGAAGGAUCCGAAAAAACGGAAAAUCAAAGAUUCCCCUCCCAUCUUCUUUCGAAAGUAUCAAAUCGUUGGUGCUGGGGGUGGUCGCGGCAAUGUAGAUCACCUAUUCCAUUAUCAACGACUUCGAAUGGGGUAUUGAGAGGUCCGAAGAAACAGGAAGCCAUUGGCUCCCCUCCACUCUUCCAUCGAAGUCGUCUAGACGAUAUAGAUGACUACGGUAGCAGGACCAAAAAAGAAAAAAAAAGUGAGGGGGGAAAAAAAGAUAU